ensembl:piRNA 21ur-1483 ncRNA
UCAAUCACGGUAUUUAUUUUG